CUACGGAGGGUGCAAGCGUUAUCCGGAAUCAUUAGGUUUAAAGGGUCCGUAGGCGGGCUAAUAAGUCAGGGGUGAAAUCCCACAGCUUAACUGUGGAACUGCCCUUGAUACUGUUGGUCUUGAGUUACAGUGAAGUGGUUAGAAUGUGUAGUGUAGCGGUGAAAUGCAUAGAGAUUACACAGAAUACCGAUUGCGAAGGCAGAUCACUAACUGUAUACUGACGCUAAUGGACGAAAGCGUGGGGAGCGAACAGGAUUAGAAACCCUAGUAGUCC
rnacentral:rRNA from 1 species